AACAUUUCGUUAAUUCGAAGAAAGGAAGGUCACUGCUGUCCUGAUCCAGAUCAUACUAGUUUCUGAGGUGUUUUAAACUAUUUAACGGGAUGGUCUGAUUGAUAAUUGAUGCCUGCCGCUAUGUGGCCAACAAGGUUGGUCGUGUAGUCAGCAGGACGUCGGGAUUGGGAGAGAUGGGGUCUAAACCACCGAUACAGAAUUUCAGUGAGCGGAAAGUCCCCAUACAGGAGACUGUAACAGGAGACACACAUGGUCCUGGUCCAGACGUUGUAAAGCGUACUGAGAGUGGCAAACUGGCGCAGGGUCAAACUAACCAAGACUCGGGAGGUCUAUCGUCUUCAUAGACAUCAAACAAAACAUUGAAAUAAGUGUGGUCUACAUUGCAGAAUGGAAGUUAAGAAAUGAAGGCGUACAUUCACAAAAUUGUCACAGUUUAAGCUGCAAUGAAUGUUUCUAAUCUGAACAAAAAGCAAGAUGCUGAUAAUUCUGCUGAUUUCAAAAUCAAAUAAUGAGGGCGAAAAAUCGUGUUACUCAUCUCUCCUAAAUAAAAGGAUUCGGCUAGUAAUAUAUGUCUGAUUCCAUCUUCUGUCCUUAAUAUCACUGACGUUUUAUGACGUAUCUGUUCGUAAACGUGUUGUCAUGACACUGGGACAGCUGCUGAAGCCUAUCUGUCACGUGAUCGGGAAAGGAUGAAUGUACUUAUACAUGUACAUAUUAGUUGUAUUUUAUUUUAAAUAAAAACCUUCUAUGAAUUAAAAUAUCUGUUUGUUU